AUUGAACGCUGGCGGCAUGCCUUACACAUGCAAGUCGAACGGCAGCACGGGUGCUUGCACCUGGUGGCGAGUGGCGAACGGGUGAGUAAUACAUCGGAACAUGUCCUGUAGUGGGGGAUAGCCCGGCGAAAGCCGGAUUAAUACCGCAUACGAUCUACGGAUGAAAGCGGGGGACCUUCGGGCCUCGCGCUAUAGGGUUGGCCGAUGGCUGAUUAGCUAGUUGGUGGGGUAAAGGCCUACCAAGGCGACGAUCAGUAGCUGGUCUGAGAGGACGACCAGCCACACUGGGACUGAGACACGGCCCAGACUCCUACGGGAGGCAGCAGUGGGGAAUUUUGGACAAUGGGCGAAAGCCUGAUCCAGCAAUGCCGCGUGUGUGAAGAAGGCCUUCGGGUUGUAAAGCACUUUUGUCCGGAAAGAAAUGCUUGGACCUAAUACGGUCGGGGGAUGACGGUACCGGAAGAAUAAGCACCGGCUAACUACGUG
rnacentral:rRNA from 1 species